GCCACGUACACAGGUCUCUUAUGCAAUGCCUUUUGGAGGUUUUGACUAUGGCUCAAACAAUAAAGGUCAUUCACAGAAAGGGCUUCCACAUAAACGGAUUAGGACAGCAAAUGAGAAGAGGUCAGCUGAUGUUUCUAGGGUUUCUGAAAGAAACUUAGAAGAGUUGUCCUGUGAAGCAAAUGUCUUAAUUACGCAUGGUGAUAGAGGCUGGAGAGAAUGUGGGGUGCAGGUAGUAUUAGAACUUUUUGAUCAUAAUGAGUGGAAGCUUGCUGUAAAAAUUUCAGGGAUUACAAAGUAUUCCUACAAGGCACAUCAAUUUCUGCAG
rnacentral:misc_RNA from 1 species